rnacentral:rRNA from 1 species
AUUGAACGCUGGCGGCAUGCUUUACACAUGCAAGUCGAACGGUAACAGGCCGCCAGGUGCUGACGAGUGGCGAACGGGUGAGUAAUGCAUCGGAACGUGCCCAGUCGUGGGGGAUAACUACUCGAAAGAGUAGCUAAUACCGCAUACGAUCUAUGGAUGAAAGCGGGGGACCGUAAGGCCUCGCGCGAUUGGAGCGGCCGAUGUCAGAUUAGGUAGUUGGUGGGGUAAAGGCUCACCAAGCCAACGAUCUGUAGCUGGUCUGAGAGGACGACCAGCCACACUGGGACUGAGACACGGCCCAGACUCCUACGGGAGGCAGCAGUGGGGAAUUUUGGACAAUGGGCGCAAGCCUGAUCCAGCAAUGCCGCGUGCAGGAAGAAGGCCUUCGGGUUGUAAACUGCUUUUGUACGGAACGAAACGGCUCUGGUUAAUACCCGGGGCUAAUGACGGUACCGUAAGAAUAAGCACCGGCUAACUACGUG